rnacentral:lncRNA from 10 species
UUAAUACUACUGCCACUGCUGUCACUGCUGCUGCUGCUGCUGGGAUCUGGCCCUGGGUCCCGCCAGGCCUCCAAGAGGUCACACGUGCACCGACGUGGGAUCCUGGAACUGGCAGGAACUGUGGGUUGUAUUGACUCCUGAACCCCACUUACCUAUAUGAAAUACAGUUGCUACUGUGGCCUGGGAGGCCAUGGCCAGCACCGGGAUGCCAUUGACUGGACCAGCAGAGAACAAAUGCCAAAAGCUCUUGUGCAAGUGUGACCAGGAGAUUGCUAACUGCUUAGCCCGAACUGAGUACAACUGAAAGUACCUCUUCUACCCCCAGUUUCUGUGAAAGCAGGACUCGCCCAAGUGCGAC